CUAAUUUUUUUUUUAUUUUUAUUUUUUUGCAGAGGGAAAAGUCCCCUUCGACCCAGUAUCAAAUUUGUUGAUUGCAUGGCUCUGUUCAUUUCAUCCCAGUAUUUUCUGUUUGAUGACAGACUGAACUGCUGUCAAGUGAACAAGUGUUAUCUCUCCUAUGCACUACCAGUCUGGUAAUCAGCAGGGAAGCUGGCAAGUGGAACUAAGAACAAGGAAAAAGUAAUCUUCUCUCAGAGGCCCACUGCCAAGAGACAGAGCUGCCAGCCUGCCAGCAGCAGCAGCGCUUCCACCAGGGAGUCAGAGCAGGAGCUCCUCGUUCCCACAGCUGUUUCCACUGUACUUCUAAGCUGAGAAGAAGUGAAGCACCAAGAAUCCACUUCAGAUGGGCACAGAAAAUCCCCCAGUGUGGAUUCCCCGUGACUGCAGCAAGCAAAAAACUACCUAACACACUAGGGUCAUGAAGGCUCCCGCAGACAGCACAUAUACUUUGGAGUAUGGAGAAGGAGAAUAUCUUCCUCAAAAGAUCUGCUGAUUCCAAAGUCAGACGUGGCCUGAUGGUAAAUGGGUCCAUAACAAUAAGUCUGACAAUCCCUGAGCAAUUGGAGUUGGCAUUUCCUGGCACGUACAACCAGGAUGGCCAGGCAGUUCUGAAUGGUGGCCAAGCAAAGCUACAAGCAAGUCAACAUGAUAGCCAAGGAUAGUUCUGAACUGCCACUUUCCUGUCUUAUGUAUAAAGAGAAGUAGAAGCUGUGAAAUAUUUCAGCCCCAUGUACUACCCUGAUUUUAUCACGACUGUAUUUUCUUCUUGAUUCAAAUAAAAAUAGGUAGCUCCUCACA